GACGAACGCUGGCGGCGUGCUUAACACAUGCAAGUCGAACGGAAAGGCCCUGCUUUUGUGGGGUGCUCGAGUGGCGAACGGGUGAGUAACACGUGAGUAACCUGCCCUUGACUUUGGGAUAACUUCAGGAAACUGGGGCUAAUACCGGAUAGGAGCUCCUGCUGCAUGGUGGGGGUUAGAAAGUUUCGGCGGUUGGGGAUGGACUCGCGGCUUAUCAGCUUGUUGGUGGGGUAGUGGCUUACCAAGGCUUUGACGGGUAGCCGGCCUGAGAGGGUGACCGGCAACAUUGGGACUGAGAUACGGCCCAGACUCCUACGGGAGGCAGCAGUGGGGAAUAUUGCACAAUGGGCGGAAGCCUGAUGCAGCAACGCCGCGUGCGGGAUGACGGCCUUCGGGUUGUAAACCGCUUUCGCCUGUGACGAAGCGUGAGUGACGGUAAUGGGUAAAGAAGCACCGGCUAACUACGUG
rnacentral:rRNA from 1 species